GAUGAACGCUGGCGGCGUGCCUAAUACAUGCAAGUCGAGCGAACAGACGAGGAGCUUGCUCCUCUGACGUUAGCGGCGGACGGGUGAGUAACACGUGGAUAACCUACCUAUAAGACUGGGAUAACUUCGGGAAACCGGAGCUAAUACCGGAUAAUAUAUUGAACCGCAUGGUUCAAUAGUGAAAGACGGUUUUGCUGUCACUUAUAGAUGGAUCCGCGCCGCAUUAGCUAGUUGGUAAGGUAACGGCUUACCAAGGCAACGAUGCGUAGCCGACCUGAGAGGGUGAUCGGCCACCCGGGAACUGAGACACCGUCAAGGCUCCUGAGGGAGGCAGCAGUCGGGAAUCUUCCGCAAUGGGCGAAAGCCUGGCGGAGCAACGCCGCGUGAGUGAUGGAGGUCUUCGGAUCGUAAAACUCUGUUAUUAGGGAAGAACAAAUGUGUAAGUAACUAUGCACGUCUUGACGGUACCUAAUCAGAAAGCCACGGCUAACUACGUG
rnacentral:rRNA from 1 species